GCAGCUUAUGUCGAACGUGCUAGUGAAAUUCACAAGUGGCAUAUUGGCAUGGUCCUUUUCCCAAAUCAGGGGAGAUGAUAUUUGAGAAAAUGAUAUCAGGAAUGUACUUGGGUGAGAUUGUGCGAAGAGUCUUGUAUAGGAUGGCAGAUGAGGCCAGCCUUUUUGGUGAUACAGUCCCAUCAAAAUUGAAAACUCCAUUCAUCUUAAGUGUGACUUAAGCUAGCUCAAGGAGAUGGUUAAUUACCUCAGUUCAGUCCUGCAGACGAACUGCCAAGCUAGUCUACCACCAGUAGACAAUUGCACCGAUAUUGUCCCUACUGUUGCUGUAGAAGUUGAUGUUGCUGCAGAAGUUGUUCUUGCUUCAGAAGCUGCUAUUGUUGCUGCUACACCAUCCCCAGUUGCUGCUGCUAUACAAUCCCCAAUACGUUGUUGCUGCUACCAUUCUACCAAAGCUCUUCCGCUACAAUUUUUUUAUUUUUUUUUAUUGAUAUUGGAUUUUGUUUUUGCCGUACUUGGGUAGAUCAUUUAUAUUUUGUCAAUGAAUAAUAGGAUCUUGUUAUUGAAUGAACAAUAUUAUUUUAUUAUUGAAUGAAAUUAUUUUUAG